CUCGUUGAGUCAUUGUUGGGCAUGGUAUGUAGCCUAUUUAGCAUUUACUUGGUUGGUUUCAAGUGUGCAAUUGAAAAUAGGCAUCCCAAAACUGGUUUCAUGUAUUUGCAGUUUGCGGCUAGAUGAUGACAUAUUUGAUCCUGCUGAUCAACACCACGUUGUCUAGAUGUUGGUCUUUCAUGGCAAGAUCAUUUGUGGAUUUUGAAAUGCUUUGUCCUUACCUAUAUGUGCUAGAGAAAGAAAGACUUCAGAAGUUCACGGCAGAACUUUGACAAGUGUUUGGCAUUGUUCGUAGACGCAAUACUCAAAUUAUCCCCGUGAUGCCAAAGUGAGUUUCUUCCUCUCAAAUUAAGCACUUGAUAUGUUUACCAUUAGUAUUAUAUUACUUUCAUCAAUGAUUAAGGUUGAUGGGUGAGGUUUUCAUCCUUAUACGUCACCAUACAUGGCAUUAUUCGUCACCAUCAUGUUUCUGGCUUAUUACAAUUUGCUUCGUAUUGUUAUAGUUGUCCUAUAAUUGCUCUUGAUAUCUUGAAUCAUCAUAUUCUUGUGUGGUAAUGAUCUGUUUGGUGGUUUUCCAUAACCCAUAGGUUCCUUCGUGGGAGAUUUUCAUGGACGCAUGGGCUGACUUGAUGUGGUUGGUUUUGUGAUCUACUAGCUUGGGUUUUCCUCUGCAUUUGAAAUAGAGUAG